CCACUUUGAAAUCUGUUCAGCAGGAUACUAAUCAUAAAAUGUAUAUAUAAAUGCAACAGAGGUGUUUUUGUUACAUUUAUAUUGACAAACUGUUUUUCUUAGUUGUGAAGUUUAAAAUAAGCUUAAAAUAUAUUGAUGUUGAGUUUACAGUUACAAUUUUAAUUCAGAUUCAUGAACAGAUUCAUUCGGACUCGGACUCGGCCUAUUAUGGACUCGGUCUUGAGUCCGACUCGGCCCCUUUUUUGGACUCGGACUCAACUUGGACUCAGUUGUUUAAAGACACGGACUUGACUCGGACUCGACUAAGGUGGACUCGAACCCAACACUAGAAACUUGCAUCUAUAUUGUAUUCUAAAUUCUAACAUUUGGUAUUGUUCGUUAGAUGGUAAUGAUAAUAAAUGCUAAUCUUGGCUCUUUUCCCCCUCUCUCUCUGCCCCCCACCACCCCCGACGGUGAGAUGAACUUUACCUCUGGUACAAGCCCUGAUGCCCGGCGCAGCUGACUGAGGGAAGCUGCAUUUAAGCAGAGCAAAUUCUCACAGUUUUCCAGUGGAAAACAUCAAAUUAAACGAGCUGCCAGACAGCAGAUACUCUUUAGCAUCGAAGAACUCUGAGGAUUGAAGGGACUCUGGGAUUGACCCUCGACUCUCACUGGACACUUGCUGUAGUAGUGGCCGUGGCCCAUCAAAGACAUCCUGAUUGGAGGAAAAGAACGAAAAGGACAUCGACUUUGAGAAAGCUGAGAGAGACAUGGCUAAUACAGUCAUUGGAAUUUUCAUUGUCCGAGCCGAAGGUGCAGGACCUGAAGAACCACCAUUGUAUGUUGGGAUCAUUGUUGAAGGAGUGAAAGUGCUUCAGGAGCUUGGAGAUGUCACCAAGGCUUGUGCUCUGCUCUUGGCAGUAAUAUAUAGCUUGAUUCUGAGCUAUCCAUCUGAUCUCAAGUACACCUUUGAGUUUCUUCAGAAGGUGUUAAUGGAACUUGAUGCAAACAAACUUUCACACAAAAUACAGGUACUUAAAAACAAACUUAUGGAAUAAAUCAUUGCAUGUUCAGUUUCUUAUUCCAGUGCAAUGCUGCGGUUUAUAUUGUUGUUCAAUUUAUUAUGUUUUUUUUCUCAGAACUGUGAAAUUUUAUUUUUUUGCUUUUAUUUUAUUGAUCAAAAAUAUAUGUCAGCCAUAAAUGUUCCUUUUAAUAAGGGCUAAAAAAACCUGUCGAGUUCUGUAGCAUUUUGGGGUAUGCUGCCAAUAUUGAGUUGAUGUCAUGUUCAUUUCUAGUAUUUCUUUUAAGAAAAAAAAAAAAAGAUUUAUUAUAAGGCUUGGCUGUAUUGCAAAUAAAAAGCUGUUUGUUUCUGCAAAAUAUGUCUGAUUAUUUAAUGGUUUUCUUGUACACUUGUAUGGCAAUGUAUUAUAAUUACAAUGUAACUGAAAUCCAUAACAAAUAUUUAUUGCAUACUAAAAAUUC